UACGUAGGUGGCGAGCGUUGUCCGGAUUUACUGGGCGUAAAGGGCUUGUAGGCGGUCCGCUAAGUCUGGUGUGAAAUCUCCCGGCUCAACCGGGAGGGGUCAUUGGAAACUGGCGGACUUGAGGGGGGUAGAGGAAAGCAGAAUUCCUGGUGUAGCGGUGAAAUGCGUAGAUAUCAGGAGGAAUACCAGUGGCGAAGGCGGCUUUCUGGGCCUACCCUGACGCUGAGGAGCGAAAGCGUGGGGAGCAAACCGG
rnacentral:rRNA from 1 species